rnacentral:rRNA from 1 species
UACGUAGGCAGCGAGCGUUGUUCGGAGUUACUGGGCGUAAAGCGUGCGUAGGCGGUGGACCAAGUCUGGUGUGAAAUCUCCCGGCUCAACCGGGAGGGUGCGCCGGAAACUGGUUCGCUGGAGUGCGGGGGAGGCAAGCGGAAUUCCAGGUGUAGCGGUGAAAUGCGUAGAUAUCUGGAGGAACACCCGUGGUGCAGACGGCUUGCUGGACCGUGACUGACGCUGAGGCACGAAAGCGUGGGUAGCAAACAGG